UACGAAGGGGGCUAGCGAUGUUCGGAAUUACUGGGCGUAAAGCGCACGUAGGCGGACUUGUAAGUCAGGGGUGAAAUCUCGGGGCUCAACCCCGGAACUGCCUUUGAUACUGCAAGGCUAGAGGACGUGAGAGGUGAGUGGAAUUCCGAGUGUAGAGGUGAAAUUCGUAGAUAUUCGGAGGGACACCAGUGGCGAAGGCGACUGUCUGGCUCAUUACUGACGCUGAGGUGCGAAAGUGUGGGGAGCAAACAGG
rnacentral:rRNA from 1 species